rnacentral:rRNA from 1 species
CAGGAUGAACGCUGGCGGCGUGCCUAACACAUGCAAGUCGAACGGGAACAGAAUGAAACCUAGUGAUUUUUGUUUUAGUGGCGGACGGGUGAGUAACGCGUGGGUAACCUGCCGUAUACAGGGGGAUAACACUUAGAAAUAGGUGCUAAUACCGCAUAAGCGCACAGCUUCGCAUGGAGCAGUGUGAAAAGCGUAAACGGUAUACGAUGGACCCGCGUCUGAUUAGCUAGUUGGCGGGGUAGAGGCCCACCAAGGCGACGAUCAGUAGCCGGCCUGAGAGGGUGACCGGCCACAUUGGGACUGAGACACGGCCCAAACUCCUACGGGAGGCAGCAGUGGGGAAUAUUGCACAAUGGGGGGAACCCUGAUGCAGCGACGCCGCGUGAGUGAAGAAGUAUUUCGGUAUGUAAAGCUCUAUCAGCAGGGAAGAAAAUGACGGUACCUGACUAAGAAGCCCCGGCUAACUACGUGCCAGCAGCCGCGGUAAUACGUAGGGGGCAAGCGUUAUCCGGAUUUACUGGGUGUAAAGGGAGCGUAGACGGUUAUGCAAGUCUGGAGUGAAAGCCCAAGGCUCAACCAUGGGACUGCUUUGGAAACUGUAAAACUGGAGUGCAGGAGAGGUAAGCGGAAUUCCUAGUGUAGCGGUGAAAUGCGUAGAUAUUAGGAGGAACACCAGUGGCGAAGGCGGCUUACUGGACUGUAACUGACGUUGAGGCUCGAAGGCGUGGGGAGCAAACAGGAUUAGAUACCCUGGUAGUCCACGCGGUAA